rfam:Cajanus cajan Scaffold134089_2, whole genome shotgun sequence.
GGUGUUUGGAAUGAGGUUUGAUCCAAGAUCAUCACAUCAUGCAUAUAUCUUCUUCUUCUUCUUCUUCUUCUUCAAUUUCCCUUUUAUUUUCUUGAUUUACCUUCAUAUAUUUAUUAUCAUCACUUCAUGCAUGGGAUGGGACUGAUCUCGGACCAGGCUUCAUUCUUCACACC